GGGCAGCAUGAACUUAGCUUGCUAAGUUUGAUGGCGACCGGCGCACGGGUGAGUAACACGUAUCCAACCUGCCGAUGACUCGGGGAUAGCCUUUCGAAAGAAAGAUUAAUACCCGAUGGCAUAAUUCUUCCGCAUGGUAGAACUAUUAAAGAAUUUCGGUCAUCGAUGGGGAUGCGUUCCAUUAGGUUGUUGGCGGGGUAACGGCCCACCAAGCCUUCGAUGGAUAGGGGUUCUGAGAGGAAGGUCCCCCACAUUGGAACUGAGACACGGUCCAAACUCCUACGGGAGGCAGCAGUGAGGAAUAUUGGUCAAUGGACGAGAGUCUGAACCAGCCAAGUAGCGUGAAGGAUGACUGCCCUAUGGGUUGUAAACUUCUUUUAUACGGGAAUAAAGUGAGGCACGUGUGCCUUUUUGUAUGUACCGUAUGAAUAAGGAUCGGCUAACUCCGUGCCAGCAGCCGCGGUAAUACGGAGGAUCCGAGCGUUAUCCGGAUUUAUUGGGUUUAAAGGGAGCGUAGGCGGACGCUUAAGUCAGUUGUGAAAGUUUGCGGCUCAACCGUAAAAUUGCAGUUGAUACUGGGUGUCUUGAGUACAGUAGAGGCAGGCGGAAUUCGUGGUGUAGCGGUGAAAUGCUUAGAUAUCACGAAGAACUCCGAUUGCGAAGGCAGCCUGCUGGACUGUAACUGACGCUGAUGCUCGAAAGUGUGGGUACCAAACAGG
rnacentral:rRNA from 1 species